GAAGGUGGCCUGUGAGGGUUGCUGGAGGUAUCAGAAGUGCGAAUGCUGACAUAAGUAACGAUAAAGCGGGUGAAAAGCCCGCUCGCCGGAAGACCAAGGGUUCCUGUCCAACGUUAAUCGGGGCAGGGUGAGUCGACCCCUAAGGCGAGGCCGAAAGGCGUAGUCGAUGGGAAACGGGUUAAUAUUCCCGUACUUGGUGUUACUGCGAAGGGGGGACGGAGAAGGCUAUGUUGGCCGGGCGACGGUUGUCCCGGUUUAAGCGUGUAGGCUGGUUUUCCAGGCAAAUCCGGAAAAUCAAGGCUGAGGCGUGACGACGAGGCACUACGGUGCUGAAGCAACAAAUGCCCUGCUUCCAGGAAAAGCCUCUAAGCAUCAGGUAACAUCAAAUCGUACCCCAAACCGACACAGGUGGUCAGGUAGAGAAUACCAAGGCGCUUGAGAGAACUCGGGUGAAGGAACUAGGCAAAAUGGUGCCGUAACUUCGGGAGAAGGCACGCUGACAUGUAGGUGAAGUGAUUUACUCAUGGAGCUGAAGUCAGUCGAAGAUACCAGCUGGCUGCAACUGUUUAUUAAAAACACAGCACUGUGCAAACACGAAAGUGGACGUAUACGGUGUGACGCCUGCCCGGUGCCGGAAGGUUAAUUGAUGGGGUCAGCGCAAGCGAAGCUCCUGAUCGAAGCCCCGGUAAACGGCGGCCGUAACUAUAACGGUCCUAAGGUAGCGAAAUUCCUUGUCGGGUAAGUUCCGACCUGCACGAAUGGCGUAAUGAUGGCCAGGCUGUCUCCACCCGAGACUCAGUGAAAUUGAACUCGCUGUGAAGAUGCAGUGUACCCGCGGCAAGACGGAAAGACCCCGUGAACCUUUACUAUAGCUUGACACUGAACAUUGAGCCUUGAUGUGUAGGAUAGGUGGGAGGCUUUGAAGCGUGGACGCCAGUCUGCGUGGAGCCGACCUUGAAAUACCACCCUUUAAUGUUUGAUGUUCUAACGUGGACCCGUUACCCGGGUUGCGGACAGUGUCUGGUGGGUAGUUUGACUGGGGCGGUCUCCUCCUAAAGAGUAACGGAGGAGCACGAAGGUUGGCUAAUCCUGGUCGGACAUCAGGAGGUUAGUGCAAUGGCAUAAGCCAGCUUGACUGCGAGCGUGACGGCGCGAGCAGGUGCGAAAGCAGGUCAUAGUGAUCCGGUGGUUCUGAAUGGAAGGGCCAUCGCUCAACGGAUAAAAGGUACUCCGGGGAUAACAGGCUGAUACCGCCCAAGAGUUCAUAUCGACGGCGGUGUUUGGCACCUCGAUGUCGGCUCAUCACAUCCUGGGGCUGAAGUAGGUCCCAAGGGUAUGGCUGUUCGCCAUUUAAAGUGGUACGCGAGCUGGGUUUAGAACGUCGUGAGACAGUUCGGUCCCUAUCUGCCGUGGGCGCUGGAGAACUGAGGGGGGCUGCUCCUAGUACGAGAGGACCGGAGUGGACGCAUCACUGGUGUUCGGGUUGUCAUGCCAAUGGCACUGCCCGGUAGCUAAAUGCGGAAGAGAUAAGUGCUGAAAGCAUCUAAGCACGAAACUUGCCCCGAGAUGAGUUCUCCCUGAGACUUUAGGUCUCCUGAAGGAACGUUGAAGACGACGACGUUGAUAGGCCGGGUGUGUAAGCGCAGCGAUGCGUUGAGCUAACCGGUACUAAUGAACCGUGAGGCUUAACCUUACAACGCCGAAG
rnacentral:rRNA from 1 species